GACGAACGCUGGCGGCGCGCCUAACACAUGCAAGUCGAGCGAGAACCAGGGCUUCGGCCCUGGGGACAGCGGCGAACGGGUGAGUAACACGUGGAUAACCUGCCCUCGGCACCGGAAUAGCCCGAGGAAACUCGGAUUAAUGCCGGAUAGCCCCACAUCCCUGCGGGGAACGUGGGAAAAGGUAGCUUCGGCCUCUGGCCGGGGAUGGGUCCGCGGUGGAUUAGCUUGUUGGCGGGGUAACGGCCCACCAAGGCAACGAUCCAUAGCUGGUCUGAGAGGAUGAUCAGCCACACUGGGACUGAGACACGGCCCAGACUCCUACGGGAGGCAGCAGUGGGGAAUCUUGCGCAAUGGGCGAAAGCCUGACGCAGCGACGCCGCGUGCGGGAAGAAGGCCUUCGGGUUGUAAACCGCUUUCAGGAGGGACGAAGCCACUCGGGUGAAUAGCCCAGAGGGUGACGGUACCUCCAGAAGAAGCCCCGGCUAACUACGUGCCAGCCGCCGCUGUAAGAC
rnacentral:rRNA from 1 species